rnacentral:sRNA from 1 species
GCUGGGUGUGGUGGUGCACACCUGUAAUCACAGCAACUCAGAAGGCUAAGGCAGAAGGAUUGUUAGUUUGAGGCCAGCCUCAGCAAAGAGGCCCUAAGCAAUUUAGUGAAACUCUAUCUCAA